rnacentral:rRNA from 1 species
UAAUACGAAGGGGGCUAGCGUUGUUCGGAAUUACUGGGCGUAAAGCGCGCGCAGGCGGCCAUUCAAGUCAGGGGUGAAAGCCCAGAGCUCAACUCUGGAACUGCCCUUGAAACUGUAUGGCUUGAGUAUGAGAGAGGUGAGUGGAAUUCCCAGUGUAGAGGUGAAAUUCGUAGAUAUUGGGAAGAACACCGGUGGCGAAGGCGGCUCACUGGCUCAUUACUGACGCUCAGGCGCGACAGCGUGGGGAUCAAACAGG